UGGGGAAUAUUGCACAAUGGGGGAAACCCUGAUGCAGCGACGCCGCGUGAGUGAAGAAGUAUUUCGGUAUGUAAAGCUCUAUCAGCAGGGAAGAUAAUGACGGUACCUGACUAAGAAGCUCCGGCUAAAUACGUGCCAGCAGCCGCGGUAAUACGUAUGGAGCAAGCGUUAUCCGGAUUUACUGGGUGUAAAGGGAGCGCAGACGGCAAGGCAAGUCUGAUGUGAAAGUCCGAGGCUCAACCUCGGGACUGCAUUGGAAACUGUCUGGCUAGAGUGCAGGAGAGGUAAGUGGAAUUCCUAGUGUAGCGGUGAAAUGCGUAGAUAUUAGGAGGAACACCAGUGGCGAAGGCGGCUUACUGGACUGUAACUGACGUUGAGGCUCGAAAGCGUGGGGAGCAAA
rnacentral:rRNA from 1 species